GAUUUAAGCAUAUAAUUAAGCGGAGGAAAGAAACUAACCAGGAUUCCCCUAGUAAGGGCGACUGAAGCGGGAAGAGCUCAUAAUGUGAAUCUGUACUGGCCCUGUGUCAGUGCCGAAUUGUGGAAAGCAACGUAGACAAACUGCCCCGUGUAAAGUUCCCUUGGAACAGAACAGCAGAGAGGGUGAGACUCCCGUCUGUGCAUGGCGUGGAAUGUCAAACACAUGCUUGUAUGAGUCGAGUUGCUUGGGAUUGCAGCUCAAAUUGGGUGGUAAAUUCCAUCUAAAGCUAAAUACUGGUGGGAGACCGAUAGCGCACAAGUACCAUGAGGGAAAGAUGCAAAGCACUUUGAAAAGAGAGUUAAAGAGUACCUGAAAUUGCUGAAAGGGAAGCAAAGGAAACCAGUGCGGUGCUGCGUCAUAUUUCUUCUCCUGAUAUUGGGUGGAGCGCGGUGGCGGGGCUAGCGUCAUUGUACAUUGCCAUUGGAACAAAGGGAGUGUUGUCUGGUAGUGCCUCUGGCGCAAAGACCGUUCUUCUUGUCUUGUGGUGAUUGGUGAUGACUAAAUGGUUUUCUUUACCCCGUCUUGAAACACGGACCAAGGA
rnacentral:rRNA from 1 species